rnacentral:rRNA from 1 species
CGUGAGACAGUUCGGUCCCUAUCCGCUGUGCGCGUAGGAAUAUUGAGAAGGGCUGUCCCUAGUACGAGAGGACCGGGACGGACGAACCUCUGGUGUGCCAGUUGUCCUGCCAAGGGCAUGGCUGGUUGGCUACGUUCGGAAAGGAUAACCGCUGAAAGCAUCUAAGCGGGAAGCCUGCUUCGAGAUGAGUAUUCCCACCCUCUUGAGGGGUUAAGGCUCCCAGUAGACGACUGGGUUGAUAGGCCAGAUGUGGAAGCCCGGUAACGGGUGGAGCUGACUGGUACUAAUAGGCCGAGGGCUUGUCCUCAGUUG